rnacentral:rRNA from 1 species
GUUGAACGCUGACAGCAUGCUUAACACAUGCAAGUCGACGUGGCGGACGCGUGAGUAACGCGUAAAGAACUUGCCUCUCAGUUAGGGACAACCUUAGGAAACGAAUUCUAAUACCUGAUACUGUGAGAGAGCUUUGCGUCCCAUUAGCUCGUUGGCGAGGUAACGGCACACCAAGGCGAUGAUGGGUAGCCGGCCUGAGAGGGUGAUCGGCCACAAGGGGACUGGGACACGGCCCUUGCGCCUACUGGAGGCAGCAGUGGGGAAUAUUGGACAAUGGACCACAGUCUGAUCAAGCAAUUCGGUGUGCAAGAUGAAGUUUUCGGAAUGUAAAGAGAGUUCAGUAGGGAAGCGGUACCAACAGAAGAAGUGACGGCUAAAUACGUGCCAGCAGCCGCGGUAAUUC